rnacentral:rRNA from 1 species
AGUGAACGCUGGCGGUAGGCCUAACACAUGCAAGUCGAACGGCAGCACAGUAAGAGCUUGCUCUUACGGGUGGCGAGUGACGGACGGGUGAGGAAUACAUCGGAAUCUACUUUUUCGUGGGGGAUAACGUAGGGAAACUUACGCUAAUACCGCAUACGACCUACGGGUGAAAGCAGGGGAUCUUCGGACCUUGCGCGAUUGAAUGAGCCGAUGUCGGAUUAGCUAGUUGGCGGGGUAAAGGCCCACCAAGGCGACGAUCCGUAGCUGGUCUGAGAGGAUGAUCGGCACAACUGGAACUGAGACACGGCCCAGACUCCUACGGGAGGCAGCAGUGGGGAAUAUUGGACAAUGGGCGCAAGCCGGAUCCAGCCAUACCGCGUGGGUGAAGAAGGCCUUCGGGUUGUAAAGCCCUUUUGUUGGGAAAGAAAAGCAGCAGGUUAAUACCCCGCUGUUCGGACGGUACCCAAAGAAUAAGCACCGGCUAACUUCGU